CAGCCAUGCCGCGUGUGUGAAGAAGGCCUUCGGGUUGUAAAGCACUUUCAGUCGUGAGGAAGGUGGUAGUGUUAAUAGCACUAUCAUUUGACGUUAGCGACAGAAGAAGCACCGGCUAACUCCGUGCCAGCAGCCGCGGUAAUACGGAGGGUGCGAGCGUUAAUCGGAAUUACUGGGCGUAAAGCGCAUGCAGGUGGUUUGUUAAGUCAGAUGUGAAAGCCCGGGGCUCAACCUCGGAAUAGCAUUUGAAACUGGCAGACUAGAGUACUGUAGAGGGGGGUAGAAUUUCAGGUGUAGCGGUGAAAUGCGUAGAGAUCUGAAGGAAUACCGGUGGCGAAGGCGGCCCCCUGGACAGAUACUGACACUCAGAUGCGAAAGCGUGGGGAGCAAACAGGAUUAGAUACCCUGGUAGUCCACGCCGUAAACGAUGUCUACUUGGAGGUUGUGGCCUUGAGCCGUGGCUUUCGGAGCUAACGCGU
rnacentral:rRNA from 1 species